rnacentral:tRNA from 3 species
GGCACUUUGGCGGAGUGGUUAACGCGCGGGCCUGCUAAGCCCGUCUCUUCGGAGGCCAGGGUUCGAAUCCCUGAGGUGUCG